rnacentral:miRNA from 1 species
UGUCUAUACUCUGUCACUUUAC